GACGAACGCUGGCGGCGUGCCUAACACAUGCAAGUCGAACGGGAUCCCAAGGCUUUUUGUUUUUUGUGGGUGUGGCGAACGGGUUAGUUACACCUUAGUUACCUUCCCCCUUCUUUUGGGUAACCGCAUGAAAGUGUGGCUAAUUCAGGAUAUUUCAGUCUGGUCGCAUGAUUGGUUUGGGAAAUGGUUUUUUCUUGUGGGUGAUGGGCUCGUCGCCUAUCAGCUUGUUUGUUGGGUGAUUGCCUACCUACGCGGUGACGGGUAGCCGGCCGGCGAGGGUGGGAGGUCAAACGAGAACUGAGAUACGGCCCAGAGUCAUACGGGAGGAAGCAGUGGGGGAUUUUGCACAAUGGGCGGAAGCAGGAAGCAGGGACGCGGCGUGAGGGAUGAAGGACUUCGGGAUGUAAACAUCAGUCGAGGGGAUGAAAGGCCAUGAUUUGGGUGUGGUUGAUUUGAACUGGUAAAGAAGUAACGGCUAACUACGUG
rnacentral:rRNA from 1 species